rnacentral:rRNA from 1 species
GACGAACGCUGGCGGCGUGCUUAACACAUGCAAGUCGAACGAAAAGAGGGAAAGAGCUUGCUCUUUCCGGAAUUGAGUGGCAAACGGGUGAGUAACACGUAAACAGCCUGCCUUCAGGAUGGGGACAACAGACGGAAACGACUGCUAAUACCGAAUAAGUUCCAAGGGCCGCAUGGCCCAUGGAAGAAAAGGUGGCCUCUACCUGUAAGCUAUCGCCUGAAGAGGGGUUUGCGUCUGAUUAGCUGGUUGGAGGGGUAACGGCCCACCAAGGCGACGAUCAGUAGCCGGUCUGAGAGGAUGAACGGCCACACUGGAACUGAGACACGGUCCAGACUCCUACGGGAGGCAGCAGUGGGGAAUCUUCCGCAAUGGGCGAAAGCCUGACGGAGCAACGCCGCGUGAGUGAUGACGGCCUUCGGGUUGUAAAACUCUGUGAUCCGGGACGAAAAGGCAGAGUGCGAAGAACAAACUGCAUUGACGGUACCGGAAAAGCAAGCCACGGCUAACUACGUG